GGCUCGGCUGCAGAACUGGAAUUUGAGCACCAGGGGGCAGUAGGCCACUUUGUUCACAUCCUUGCACUCUGCCAGACAGGAGAGGAGCUAUCAGUUUUCAGAGCCCCACCCAGGCAGAUUCUACCUAACCAAUGACUUGACUUUUUUGUGCUCGGUUUCCUCAACUGUCAAGGGAGGCUUAUGAAUCCCGUCAUUAGGCUGUUUUCAGGAUGGAGAGAGCUCAGCAUUAUCCAUGAAAAAAAAACCACACCAAAACCUUUCCUAUUCAACCAGUUGAAAUGGGGCUGGCGUCUAAUCACCAUUGCUGGGUUUCUUGAGUAGCUAGAAUGACAGGUGAAUCACAGCUUCUAGCCUUGUCCUUUUUUUUUUUUUUUAAACUGAUGUUUGAACUCAGGGCUUCACAAAUUUGCUGAGCUUGCUUGCUUCACUGAUUUUCUACUACUUGAACCACAUCUGCAGCACAGCUUUUUGCUAGUUAUUUUGGAGAUGGAAUCCCGAAGACUUUUCUGCCUGGGCUGGCUUUGAACCUCAGAUC